GAUGAACGCUGGCGGCGUGCCUAAUACAUGCAAGUCGAGCGAACAGACGAGGAGCUUGCUCCUCUGACGUUAGCGGCGGACGGGUGAGUAACACGUGGAUAACCUACCUAUAAGACUGGGAUAACUUCGGGAAACCGGAGCUAAUACCGGAUAAUAUAUUGAACCGCAUGGUUCAAUAGUGAAAGACGGUUUUGCUGUCACUUAUAGAUGGAUCCGCGCCGCAUUAGCUAGUUGGUAAGGUAACGGCUUACCAAGGCAACGAUGCGUAGCCGACCUGAGAGGGAGGUCGGCCACACGGGAACUGAGACACGGUCCAGACUCCUACGGGAGGCAGCAGUAGGGAAUCUUCCGCAAUGGGCGAAAGCCUGACGUAGCAACGCCGCGUGAGGGAUGAAGGUCUUCGGAUCGGAAAACUCUGUUAUUAGGGAAGAACAAAUGUGUUAGUAACUAUGCACGUCUUGACGGUACCUAUUCAGAAAGCCACGGCUAACUACGUG
rnacentral:rRNA from 1 species